rnacentral:rRNA from 1 species
AUUGAACGCUGGCGGCAGGCUUAACACAUGCAAGUCGAACGAGUGGCGGACGGGUGAGUAAUUACUGGGAAUCUGCCCUAUGGUGGAGUAUAACAACUGGAAACGGUAGCUAAUACCGCAUACCAUCGGUUGCGGCCAGGUGUGAUUAGCUUUUAGGUGAGGUAACGGCUCACCUAGGCGACGAUCCAUAGCUGGUCUGAGAGGAUGAGCAGCCACACUGGAACUGAGACACGGUCCAGACUCCUACGGGAGGCAGCAGUGGGGAAUAUUGCACAAUGGGCGCAAGCCUGAUGCAGCCAUGCCGCGUGUAUGAAGAAGGCCUUCGGGUUGUAAAGUACUUUCAGCGGGGAGGCGUUACCCGCAGAAGAAGCACCGGCUAACUCCGUGCCAGCAGCCGCGGUAAUAC